rnacentral:rRNA from 1 species
AGAGUUUGAUCCUGGCUCAGGAUGAACGCUGGCGGCGUGCUUAACACAUGCAAGUCGAACGGAGUUUACAUGAAACCUAGUGAUUGUAAACUUAGUGGCGGACGGGUGAGUAACGCGUGGGUAACCUGCCUUAUCCAGGGGGAUAACAGUGAGAAAUUACUGCUAAUACCGCAUAAGCGCACAGAAUCGCAUGAUUCAGUGUGAAAAGAUUUAUCGGGAUAAGAUGGACCCGCGUCUGAUUAGCUGGUUGGUGAGGUAACGGCCCACCAAGGCGACGAUCAGUAGCCGGCCUGAGAGGGUGAACGGCCACAUUGGGACUGAGACACGGCCCAAACUCCUACGGGAGGCAGCAGUGGGGAAUAUUGCACAAUGGGGGAAACCCUGAUUGCAGCGACGCCGCGUGAGUGAAGAAGUAUUUCGGUAUGUAAAGCUCUAUCAGCAGGGAAGAAAAUGACGGUACCUGACUAAGAAGCCCCGGCUAACUACGUGCCAGCCGCGGC